GGUUAAGCGACUAAGCGUACACGGUGGAUGCCCGGCAGUCAGAGGCGAUGAAGGACGUGCUAAUCUGCGAAAAGCGUCGGUAAGGUGAUAUGAACCGUUAUAACCGGCGAUGUCCGAAUGGGAAACCCAGUGUGAUUCGUCACACUAUCGUUAACUGAAUACAUAGGUUAACGAGGCGAACCGGGGAACUGAAACAUCUAAGUACCCCGAGGAAAGAAAUCAACCGAGAUUCCCCCAGUAGCGGCGAGCGAACGGGGAGCAGCCCAGAGUCUGAAUCAGCUUGUGUGUUAGUGGAACGGUCUGGAAAGUCCGACGGUACAGGGUGAUAGUCCCGUACACCAAAAUGCACAGGUUGUGAACUCGAAGAGUAGGGCGGGACACGUGGUAUCCUGUCUGAAUAUGGGGGACCAUCCUCCAAGGCUAAAUACUCCUGACUGACCGAUAGUGAACCAGUACCGUGAGGGAAAGGCGAAAAGAACCCCGGCGAGGGGUGAAAAAGAACCUGAAACCGUGUACGUACAAGCAGUGGGAGCACCUUCGGGUGUGACUGCGUACCUUUGUAUAAUGGGUCAGCGACUUAUAUUCUGUAGCAAGGUUAACCGUAUAGGGAGCCGCAGGGAAACCGAGUCUUAACUGGGCGUUAAGUUGCAGGGUAUAGACCCGAAACCCGGUGAUCUAGCCAUGGGCAGGUUGAAGGUUGGGUAACACUAACUGGAGGACCGAACCGACUAAUGUUGAAAAAUUAGCGGAUGACUUGUGGCUGGGGGUGAAAGGCCAAUCAAACCGGGAGAUAGCUGGUUCUCCCCGAAAGCUAUUUAGGUAGCGCCUCGUGAACUCAUCUUCGGGGUAGAGCACUGUUUCGGCUAGGGGGUCAUCCCGACUUACCAACCCGAUGCAAACUACGAAUACCGAAGAAUGUUAUCACGGGAGACACACGGCGGGUGCUAACGUCCGUCGUGAAGAGGGAAACAACCCAGACCGCCAGCUAAGGUCCCAAAGUCAUGGUUAAGUGGGAAACGAUGUGGGAAGGCACAGACAGCCAGGAUGUUGGCUUAGAAGCAGCCAUCAUUUAAAGAAAGCGUAAUAGCUCACUGGUCGAGUCGGCCUGCGCGGAAGAUGUAACGGGGCUAAACCAUGCACCGAAGCUGCGGCAGCGACACUAUGUGUUGUUGGGUAGGGGAGCGUUCUGUAAGCCUGCGAAGGUGACCUGUGAGGGUUGCUGGAGGUAUCAGAAGUGCGAAUGCUGACAUAAGUAACGAUAAAGCGGGUGAAAAGCCCGCUCGCCGGAAGACCAAGGGUUCCUGUCCAACGUUAAUCGGGGCAGGGUGAGUCGACCCUAAGGCGAGGCCGAAAGGCGUAGUCGAUGGGAAACAGGUUAAUAUUCCUGUACUUGGUGUUACUGCGAAGGGGGACGGAGAAGGCUAUGUUAGCCGGGCGACGGUUGUCCCGGUUUAAGCAUGUAGGCUGAUUGUCCAGGCAAAUCCGGAUAAUCAAGGCUGAGGUGUGAUGACGAGGCACUACGGUGCUGAAGUAACAAAUGCCCUGCUUCCAGGAAAGCCUCUAAGCAUCAGGUAACAUCAAAUCGUACCCCAAACCGACACAGGUGGUCAGGUAGAGAAUACCAAGGCGCUUGAGAGAACUCGGGUGAAGGAACUAGGCAAAAUGGUGCCGUAACUUCGGGAGAAGGCACGCUGGUGUGUAGGUGAAGUCCCUGCGGAUGGAGCUGAGACCAGUCGAAGAUACCAGCUGGCUGCAACUGUUUAUUAAAAACACAGCACUGUGCAAACACGAAAGUGGACGUAUACGGUGUGACGCCUGCCCGGUGCCGGAAGGUUAAUUGAUGGGGUUAUCCGUAAGGAGCUCUUGAUCGAAGCCCCGGUAAACGGCGGCCGUAACUAUAACGGUCCUAAGGUAGCGAAAUUCCUUGUCGGGUAAGUUCCGACCUGCACGAAUGGCGUAAUGAUGGCGGGCUGUCUCCACCCGAGACUCAGUGAAAUUGAACUCGCUGUGAAGAUGCAGUGUACCCGCGGCAAGACGGAAAGACCCCGUGAACCUUUACUAUAGCUUGACACUGAACAUUGAGCCUUGAUGUGUAGGAUAGGUGGGAGGCUUUGAAGCGUGGACGCCAGUCUGCGUGGAGCCAACCUUGAAAUACCACCCUUUAAUGUUUGAUGUUCUAACGUUGGCCCCUUACCGGGGUUGCGGACAGUGUCUGGUGGGUAGUUUGACUGGGGCGGUCUCCUCCCAAAGCGUAACGGAGGAGCACGAAGGUUAGCUAAUCCUGGUCGGACAUCAGGAGGUUAGUGCAAUGGCAUAAGCUAGCUUGACUGCGAGCGUGACGGCGCGAGCAGGUGCGAAAGCAGGUCAUAGUGAUCCGGUGGUUCUGAAUGGAAGGGCCAUCGCUCAACGGAUAAAAGGUACUCCGGGGAUAACAGGCUGAUACCGCCCAAGAGUUCAUAUCGACGGCGGUGUUUGGCACCUCGAUGUCGGCUCAUCACAUCCUGGGGCUGAAGUAGGUCCCAAGGGUAUGGCUGUUCGCCAUUUAAAGUGGUACGCGAGCUGGGUUUAGAACGUCGUGAGACAGUUCGGUCCCUAUCUGCCGUGGGCGCUGGAGAAUUGAGGGGCUGCUCCUAGUACGAGAGGACCGGAGUGGACGCAUCACUGGUGUUCGGGUUGUCAUGCCAAUGGCACUGCCCGGUAGCUAAAUGCGGAAGAGAUAAGUGCUGAAAGCAUCUAAGCACGAAACUUGCCCCGAGAUGAGUUCUCCCUGAGACUUUAAGUCUCCUGAAGGAACGUUGAAGACGACGACGUUGAUAGGCCGGGUGUGUAAGCGCAGCGAUGCGUUGAGCUAACCGGUACUAAUGAACCGUGAGGCUUAACCUU
rnacentral:rRNA from 1 species